GCUAAAUUUUACUCUGCCAGAUUGACACCAAGAGACUUGCAGCAAGUCUCAGAGCAGAUGAACCAAAAUGCCAUUCACAACCAACAACUCAAAGGCAUCUCUGGUGGAAAUAUCUUUGGCAAUUGGUGAAACGCAAACAAAGGUUCCAUUGGAUGAAGUACCAAUUGAUCCAACAGGUGUGUCAACAAAUGAUUUACAACCCAGCGACAUAACUAAUGAAGAG